rnacentral:misc_RNA from 1 species
AGCAGCCGCGGUAAUUCCAGCUCCAAUAGCGUAUAUUAAAGUUGCUGCAGUUAAAAAGCUCGUAGUUGAAUUUCGGGACCAUCAUGUCUGUCGUGCCUAGGUACGUACUGGCAUUGUUGGUUUCUACCUUCUGACGAACCAUGAUGUCAUUUAUUUGGUGUCGUGGGAAAUCAGGACUGUUACUUUGAAAAAAUUAGAGUGUUUAAAGCAGGCCCACGCUUGAAUACAUUAGCAUGGAAUAAUGAAAUAGGACGUUUGAUUCUAUUUUGUUGGUUUCUAGGAUCGACGUAAUGAUUAAUAGGGAUAGUUGGGGGCAUUAGUAUUCAAUUGUCAGAGGUGAAAUUCUUGGAUUUAUUGAAGACUAACUACUGCGAAAGCAUUUGCCAAGGAUGUUUUCAUUAAUCAAGAACGAAAGUUAGGGGAUCGAAGACGAUCAGAUACCGUCGUAGUCUUAACCAUAAACUAUGCCGACUAGGGAUCGGAUGAUGUUAAUUUUUUUAAUGACUCAUUCGGCGCCUUA